rnacentral:rRNA from 1 species
GGUGCCUUCCGAGUUCCCUGGAACGGAACGCCAUAGAGGGUGAGAGCCCCGUCUGGUUGGACACCGAACCUCUGUAAAGCUCCUUCGACGAGUCGAGUAGUUUGGGAAUGCUGCUCUAAAUGGGAGGUAUAUGUCUUCUAAAGCUAAAUACCGGCCAGAGACCGAUAGCGCACAAGUAGAGUGAUCGAAAGAUGAAAAGCACUUUGAAAAGAGAGUUAAAAAGUACGUGAAAUUGUUGAAAGGGAAGCGCUUAUGACCAGACUUGGGCUUGGUUGAUCAUCCUGGGUUCUCCCUGGUGCACUCUUCCAGUUCAGGCCAGCAUCAGUUCGCUGCGGGGGAUAAAAGCUUUAGGAAUGUGGCUCCUUCGGGAGUGUUAUAGCCUAUUGCAUAAUACCCUGCUCCGGACUGAGGUUCGCGCAUCUGCAAGGAUGCUGGCGUAAUGGUCAUCAGCGACCCGUCUUGAAACACGGACCAAGGAGUCGUCUUCGUAUGCGAGUGUUCGGGUGUUAAACCCCUAC